AAAACUAUGCAAAUUCAAUACAUUGCAGGAGUCGAAUAGGCCU
rfam:Shigella dysenteriae Sd197, complete genome.